UACGUAGGGCGCAAGCGUUGUCCGGAAUUAUUGGGCGUAAAGAGCUCGUAGGCGGCUUGUCACGUCGAUUGUGAAAGCCCGAGGCUUAACCUCGGGUCUGCAGUCGAUACGGGCUAGCUAGAGUGUGGUAGGGGAGAUCGGAAUUCCUGGUGUAGCGGUGAAAUGCGCAGAUAUCAGGAGGAACACCAACAGCGAAGGCAGAUCUCUGGGACGUAACUGACGCUGAGACGCGAAAGCGUGGGGAGCAAACAGG
rnacentral:rRNA from 1 species